UAGGAGCGAGGCUUGCCCGCGAAGGCGUCUGCACGUUCAACAUCACCGUUGACUGUUGAAUAGCCUUCGCGGGCAAGCCUCGCUCCUA
rnacentral:antisense_RNA from 1 species